UUCACCGCGGUCUCUAAUUUGCUUAGUGCAAGGCGGGAACCUGAUUUUCGCCAAAUACAACGACAUCAAUUAGUUUGUUUAUACAUACAGAAAUCCAUACAUAUUUAUAUGAGCACGAUUUUGGCGUUUGGAAUAUUCACGUGAAAGUUGAAACGACAUAACCGGCGAAGAAAGUUCCCGACCUGCACCAAGCGAAUUAGAGACCGCCGCAAUA
rnacentral:pre_miRNA from 1 species